AACCGCAUUCGGUGCGACUGAGCGCCACGCACACUAUAACAAUGUGUACGUGUGCACUCACACAAGCAUAGCAAACGGUCUCCGUGAAACAGAACAUAAUA